AUUGAACGCUGGCGGCAUGCCUUACACAUGCAAGUCGAACGGCAGCACGGGGCAACCUGGUGGCGAGUGGCGAACGGGUGAGUAAUGUAUCGGAACGUGCCAUUGAGUGGGGGAUAACGUAGCGAAAGUUACGCUAAUACCGCAUAUACCCUGAGGGGGAAAGCAGGGGAUCGCAAGACCUUGUGCUCUUUGAGCGGCCGAUAUCAGAUUAACUAGUUGGUGAGGUAAAGGCGAACCAAGGCGACGAUCUGUAGCGGGUCGGAGAGGAUGAUGCGCGACACUGGGACUGGGACACGGCCCAGACUCCUACGGGAGGCAGCAGUGGGGAAUUUUGGACAAUGGGCGCAAGCCUGAUCCAGCCAUGCCGCGUGAGUGAAGAAGGCCUUCGGGUUGUAAAGCUCUUUCGGCCGGGAAGAAAUCGUACAGGUUAAUACCCUGUGUGGAUGACGGUACCGGAAUAAGAAGCACCGGCUAACUACGUGCCAGCCGCCGCGGUAAUAC
rnacentral:rRNA from 1 species